UACGUAGGGGGCUAGCGUUGUCCGGAAUCAUUGGGCGUAAAGAGCGUGUAGGCGGUCCGGUAAGUCCGCUGUGAAAGUCGGGGGCUCAACCCUCGAAUGCCGGUGGAUACUGUCGGGCUAGAGUGCGGAAGAGGCGAGUGGAAUUCCUGGUGUAGCGGUGAAAUGCGCAGAUAUCAGGAGGAACACCGGUGGCGAAGGCGGAUCUCUGGGCCGUAACUGACGCUGAGGAGCGAAAGCAUGGGGAGCGAACAGG
rnacentral:rRNA from 1 species